GACGAACGCUGGCGGCGUGCUUAACACAUGCAGGUCGAACGGAAAGGCCCUGCUUUUGUGGGGUGCUCGAGUGGCGAACGGGUGAGUAACACGUGAGUAACCUGCCCUUGACUUUGGGAUAACUUCAGGAAACUGGGGCUAAUACCGGAUAGGAGCUCCUGCUGCAUGGUGGGGGUUGGAAAGUUUCGGCGGGUGGGGAUGGACUCGCGGCUUAUCAGCUUGUUGGUGGGGUAGUGGCUUACCAAGGCUUUGACGGGUAGCCGGCCUGAGAGGGUGACCGGCCACAUUGGGACUGAGAUACGGCCCAGACUCCUACGGGAGGCAGCAGUGGGGAAUAUUGCACAAUGGGCGGAAGCCUGAUGCAGCAACGCCGCGUGCGGGAUGACGGCCUUCGGGUUGUAAACCGCUUUCGCCUGUGACGAAGCGUGAGUGACGGUAAUGGGUAAAGAAGCACCGGCUAACUACGUG
rnacentral:rRNA from 1 species